rnacentral:rRNA from 1 species
GAAUCUUGCGCAAUGGGCGAAAGCCUGACGCAGCCAUGCCGCGUGAAUGAUGAAGGUCUUAGGAUUGUAAAAUUCUUUCAACGGGGACGAUAAUGACGGUACUCGGAGAAGAAGCCCAGGAUAACUUCGUGCCAGCAGCCGGGGUAAUACGAAGGGGGCUAGCGUUGCACGGAAGUACUGGGCGUAAGGGGCGCGUAGGCGGAUGGUUAAGUCAGAUGUGAAAUCCCGGAGCUCAACUUCGGAAUUGCCUUUGAUGCUGGCGAUCUUGAGUGUGAGAGAGGUAUGUGGAACUCCGAGUGUAGAGGUGAAAUUCGUAGAUAUUCGGAAGAACACCAGUGGCGAAGGCGACAUACUGGCUCAUUACUGACGCUGAGGCGCGAAAGCGUGGGGAGCAAACA